rnacentral:rRNA from 1 species
AGUGAACGCUGGCGGUAGGCCUAACACAUGCCAGUCGAACGGCAGCACAGUAAGAGCUUGCUCUUACGGGUGGCGAGUGGCGGACGGGUGAGGAAUACAUCGGAAUCUACUUUUUCGUGGGGGAUAACGUAGGGAAACUUACGCUAAUACCGCAUACGACCUACGGGUGAAAGCAGGGGAUCUUCGGACCUUGCGCGAUUGAAUGAGCCGAUGUCGGAUUAGCUAGUUGGCGGGGUAAAGGCCCACCAAGGCGACGAUCCGUAGCUGGUCUGGGAGGAUGAUCAGCCACACUGGAACUGAGACACGGUCCAGACUCCUACGGGAGGCAGCAGUGGGGAAUAUUGGACAAUGGGCGCAAGCCUGAUCCAGCCAUACCGCGUGGGUGAAGAAGGCCUUCGGGUUGUAAAGCCCUUUUGUUGGGAAAGAAAAGCAGCAGGUUAAUACCCCGCUGCUCUGACGGUACCCAAAGAAUAAGCACCGGCUAACUUCGUG